ensembl:lncRNA
AUUACUUUUGUCUCCUUUUUAUUUUAAUAACCAAUCUUAUUGUUAAGAAUUUUUUGACUCUUAAAUUCAUACUUGAAAAGCCAUGUUAUAAGUUUCCAUAUGUAAUAUCUCUAAAAUGUAAUAGUGGCUUGAGUAGAUUUUUCAUAUUCUGACCUUAGAAUACUUUUAAAUAGUUCUGGACCAAAAGAGGUCAAUUUUGUGAGUAUUGUGUAUUAAGUAACCAACAUCCCUUGUUUUUAAUCCAACUAUCAAUGUGACAAAAUUACAAGGGUCAGAAAUUCAAAAUCAUUGUUAAAGAUCAGAUAUCUUUGAUUCUUUGCUGCUUUCUGAUUACAUACAUUUGUUGUGCAUCUUCCUUGUUUUUUUUAGAAUUUUCUAAAUUUUUUUGCUUCCAAGACCUUAAGUUAAAAUGUUCUUGAAUUCAUAUGGACCCACCCCAAAUAUAGAUGUUAAAAUGUAAUUAGAGAUGGAAAUGUAUGUAAUGGAAACUUUAAGGUGUUAUGGGUUUUUUCCCUGAAACUUUCCAUGGCUUAGUGUCUUGGAAGGAGACUCACAUUAAAAGUAGUUACCUUUUAUAUUUGGUAGCUUGAAGCCAUUGUUGUUUAAUGCCACAGUAUGGAGAAGCAAAUUCUUUAAUGAAUUUACCAAAUUGUUUAGUACUAAUAAUACGGCAUUCAAGUCAUUUUUUCUUUUCUCCAACCACUAUUAAAAUAAUUUGUGUGCAUAGUGACUGAUUCCAGUCAUUAGUGUAAAAUAACUUCUGGCUAGCUAGUAAUUCUUUUUUUUAAGAAAACUACAUUUGAUUUCUCAAUUUCCCAGUUUGUUUUCAGUACAGAGUGACCAGUGCAAUGCAGAAAGGCAUAAUCAAGUGUGAUGGGUCUAUAAAAAUAACUGAAUUUUGCAUGUAAUAAACCCUUAGCUUCAAUGAUCAGACAUAAGAAUGGUUUUUGAUGUUACAUUAGUAACGUUCUAGGAAUAUAUAUUUGGCAUACUUUGCUUCACAGACAUCCAUAAAAAUGUUUACAUAUGGCAGUAUCAAAGUAUAUAAAAAUUUUCUUUGUAUAUAAAUUGGCAUCUUCAUACUAGUGAACAAAUAGCAAUGGAUAAUAAAUGCAAUUCAUUUUUGGAUGUCAGUGCACAUUGUCAAGAAGUCAUGUAAUCAUAAUAAAUACAUACCUGUUUAUUCCUUGAACCAUGAGUUUUGCACACCUGAUGUUUAAUUUUCACAUAUUGAACUUCAUUGACUUGACAGUGGUUUGUGGACAGCUCAUCAGGGUCAUUUACAAAAAUUUGCUUGGCCUGAAGGUUAUUAAUUGAGUAAAUUGGCAAAUUUUUCAAACCUUCAGAUACUAUUGAUUCUGAAAACUAAAAUAGCAGUUUACUACUGUUAGAAGUCUUGUCACAGAAUAACUUAGGUUUAUAUCGGAAGAGAAAACCUAGGAAUAAAUUAAGUUGAAAACUUUAGAAUUUUCAAUAGACAAAGAGGAGCUCUCCCUGCCCCAGAGAUUCUUGUAACAGCUCCUCUGUUUGAGAAUUGCUAUUCCUGAGGAAAAAGUGUCAAACAACUUAGCCUGUUAGGAUAUGAAAAUGAUAGAGGAGACAGGCUUCAAGAUGGCAUCAUAGAAAGAUCCUGAACUCAUCUCCUCUUACGGACAUAACAAAUCUACAACUACAUAUGGAAUAAUUCCCUCUGAAAGGGACCUGAAAACUGAAUGAACAGAGGUUCCACAACAAAGGAUAAAAGGACACAGUGUUUAGCCUGACCGUGUAAAACUAUCCUUCACUUCCUGCUUAUGCUGAUCAACCAUUGGUGAAAAGCUAGUCUUCUCAGGUAUUUUCUGAGUAUGCAUCCUGUGCUGGGCAUAUGGAUUUGUGGGUGCCUUUUAGAUUCCCUGGUAUACACAGGAACUUUUCAAAGCCCCUAUUGUUUCAAAGUAUCCCACUCCCAGCUUUUCUUCCCAGGGUGUGUGACUAUUGUAUGACUCUUGCUUGCCCCAACUGCUAUCAUUUGCCACAGCAGCUUGUUCUUUUGUAUUAGUGACUUGUUCAUUUGUCUUUCAAUGGUUUUGAGGAGUGUCUUCCAUAUAGCCAACUCUCCACCCUCAGAGAGUUCCAGGGUAAGUGAAACGAAGGCAAACACCUGUACUUCUGGUAUCCCAAAGACAAGGCAAAACAGGCAAACAGAACUGUUUGAAAACAAGGUCUGUUCUGUUCCCUCUGUGACCAGGAACCCACACUAGGAACACAGGUUGCUGCCCUCAAGGGAACAGAGGACUGUGGCAAGGGUAACUGAAAAUGCCACAAAGCUUUCCUAUCGUGCUUCAUUCACCUUUUCCUAAUUAAGCAUUUGCUUCCUUGCUGUAAACUUGUAACUAUCUUCCCGAGUUCCAAUAAAUUUGAUCCUGACAAUUUUGCCAGUUUUAUGGGUUUUUCUAGGGAAGGACAGAACCCCAGAGUUUCCUACUCCACAAUUUUCACUGACAUCACUGGUCACACCUCUUUGCGUUGUUUUGUUUUUAGCAGUCACUCUAGGGAUCACAAUAUAUAUCUUAACUUUCAUGAUCUGGAGUUAAUUUUGUACCAAUUCACUUCAAAUGUAAGAACCUUGCAACUAUAUUUAAUUUACCCCAUUUUCAUUUAUUCUAUACUUGGCAUAUAUAUUACAUCUACAUGCACUAUAAACCUCAAAAUGUUUUAAUUUUUUACUUUAAUUACUGAUUUGUACUUUAAUUAAGAAAUUGAAAGUGAUGGUUUGUUGUAUUCAUCCACAUAUUUCCCACUUCUGAUGUUCUUCAUUGCUUCCUGAAGCUCUGAAUUUCUACUUGGUACCAUUUCCACUCAGCCCAAAAAAGUUCCUUUGGUAUUUCUUAUAGUGCAGGUCAGUAGAUGAUGAAGUCUCUAUGAUUUCCAUUUGGUUCUUUUUCUAGUUUCUAUUUAUGCGGUGAAAUUUCCUAUUUGCUAAUUCAUUAAUAGCAUGUUUUCUUUAACAUUCUUGAGCAUAAUAGUUAUAAUAGCUGCUUUAAAAUUCUUGACUGCUCAUACCAUCAUAUUGGCC